GGGGUAGGAGAUCUGAUUAAUUUGGGAAAUCCUUUUGUAAUAUCGAGGACUGUGAAGAAACCAGUGAGACAGGUGGAUUCAAUCAAAGUGACCAGAAGCGGCCUUGUUUUGGUUAAUUGCGUUGAUGAAGAACAGAAGCGUGCACUGGAUCUGGCUAAAAUGUCCCCGUCAGAAGUAACAUGUAUUGAUCUUCGGAAUAGGGCGCCUGCCAAAAGAGUUAUAGCUGGAGUUUCGUUGGAUAUAGUUGAUGAGUAUCUUAGUCAGAAAAUCCCAGGAGUGGUCAGUGCAUGUCGCCUGACCUGUAUGGUAAAUGGAAGGAAGGAGAAAAGCCUGUCGAUAUUGUUGUUGUUUGAGGAGACUCUACUUGGAUAUGUGAGGUAUCCGGCGAGAGCAUUUGUCAAAACCAUAACAGUAUGGAAAUCGUAAAUGAUAUGGUCACGUGUCAAAUGUUUGCAGACGGGAGAAGUAUGAUGUUGAAGAAUCUGGGAAUGGAAAAUGUUGCAACUGUGGUGUGGAUCAUACUCCGGACUUCCUUGAGUGCCCUGUUAGGGUGAAGGAGGUCAAGGGGUCAAGGAUCAGGGCUGCCAGAGAUCUCCUAUGUGGAGGAGGUGGAGAGAGUUGCGGGGGAAGAGGCAACAGUGUUGAAGAUAUGGCAGUGUAUGAAUUGCAAUCAGUUGCUAGUGUUUUAAGUAAAUUGGGUGAUCUGGAUACACUCAUUGUGAGGGUGGAUUUUGUGGCAUUUAUAGCCACAGUGAUUAAUUGUACAGCACAAGUGUCUGAGAGGUCCAAGUUGCUGGAAAUUAUAUCUGCAGCCGAUAAGUUUUUGGGGCUCCAAGACUUCACAGCAGAAGCCCUACAAGUGCUUUUGUCGCAGGGAAAUGUCCUGCCCUCACAGAAGGCUUCUGAGCCUGUGUUAGGACCUGAUUAGAAAGAGGUUUUUACAGAAAAGCAGGUUGAUUUUGUUUGGUUAAUAAUUUUUGGGGUAGUUAGUAUGAUAUUUUAUUUUUACCCCUCCCCAAAAAUAUUUUGGGAUAAUUAUUAUCCACCCGUACACUAGGUGGCGGUAUGCACAUUUAAUUGUUGAGAACGCCAUUUAUACCAUAGAAGAAGAAGUUCUAAUCGCUGGAGAAAAAGUUUCACGGAAAAAAUGACCCCCCCAAAUAGAAUGAAAAGCGGAGAUAAAUCAACCGAGAAAGAGGACAUGCGAUUUGGAGACAAAGUGUUUUGACGACGCGUUGUCAAGGUGGAAUAUAUUUCUACAGGUCGCAGAAACGAGACUGGAAAAAUAUCAGCACAAAUGUGCUGAGUUGGAGGUGCAACACAAUGACUUCCCAUUUUAGUACUUUACUGUUGAGAAGGACAUGGGGCUCUAUGUGAAGUGCUCACUGGCCCAGAAGGAGGAUGAGCUCACAGACCUGUCAGAGCAACUGGGGGGACUGCAGCAGGCCAAGGAGUCCUUUUGAGCUGCAGCUCAGUCAACUCCGCCAAGAGUUGCAGGAGAACAAGGACAAACUCACCUUUUGAGAACAUGGUUCUUGCGGGUAAGCUGGAAGCUCCGGAGGAGUCCCUUGUGCAGAAGGAGGAGCUCAGGAAGUAGAGACAGGAGCAUCACACAGUCAACUACAGCCUAGAGAGGAAGGCCAUGCUGGACAGCGACAGGCCACCACCCACCUGUGUCACUUCAAGACAGGAGUCCUGGGCCUUAUACCGUGUUGUACACCCAACUACAACCACAUCCUGUCCAAUAUGGGACCCCUCUCCAAGAGCACCUGCCUUCAACUUCAUAGCCUCUUUGUUCGUCUGGAAACCCCCACCGCCCUAGAAGAGGACUAGUCCGUCCAAACCCUCUGGUCCAGAGUGCCUGGCUCCUCUGCUGGGUGACCCUUCCAGAGGGAGCCUGUUUACCCCCCACAGACCCACCCCAAUCAGGGGUAGCCCCGCUGAACCCAUCCUCAGAGAGGCAGGACUGGGCUUCAAACCCCUUUAAUGGGACAUUUCCAACAGAAAAUAAAUGGUGCUACUUGGUUAUUUAAAAAA